rnacentral:rRNA from 1 species
GACGAACGCUGGCGGCGUGCUUAACACAUGCAAGUCGAGCGGUAAGGCCCCUUCGGGGGUACGACGAGCGGCGAACGGGUGAGUAACACGUGGGUGACCUGCCCUCAGCUCUGGGAUAAGCCUGGGAAACCGGGUCUAAUACCGGAUAUGACUCCAUGACGCAUGUUGUGGGGUGGAAAGCCUUGUGCGGCUGAGGAUGGGCCCGCGGCCUAUCAGCUUGUUGGUGGGGUGAUGGCCUACCAAGGCGACGACGGGUAGCCGGCCUGAGAGGGCGACCGGCCACACUGGGACUGAGACACGGCCCAGACUCCUACGGGAGGCAGCAGUGGGGAAUCUUGCGCAAUGGGCGAAAGCCUGACGCAGCGACGCCGCGUGAGGGAUGACGGCCUGUGU